AGACUCCGGUAUAUAUUCCAUAUACAUCAAUGAGCUUGCAACUCAACAUGAACUUCACUACAGAGUC
rnacentral:tRNA from 1 species